GACGAACGCUGGCGGCGUGCUAACCCCAGCCAGUCGGAACCCGAAGCCCCGCCUUUGGUGGGUUGGUGAGUGGGCAAACGGUGAGUAACCCGUGAGUUAACCGCCCCCCUCUUUGGGAUUAAGGCCGGAAAACGGGGGCAAUAACGGGAAUUCACUGGGCCUUGGCUGGGGGGUGGUGGAAAGGGGUUUUCCGGGGGGGGAUGGGCUCGCGGCCUAUCAGCUUGUUGGUGGGGUGAUGGCCUACCAAGGCUUUGACGGGUAGCCGGCCUGAGAGGGUGACCGGUCACAUUGGGACUGAGAUACGGCCCAGACUCCUACGGGAGGCAGCAGUGGGGAAUAAUGCACAAUGGGCGCAAGCCUGAUGCAGCGACGCCGCGUGAGGGAUGGAGGCCUUCGGGUUGUGAACCUCUUUCGCUCAUGGUCAAGCCGCAACAAUGGUUGUGGUGAGGGUAGUGGGUAAAGAAGCGCCGGCUAACUACGUG
rnacentral:rRNA from 1 species